GUCGAACGCGAAAGGGCUUCGGCCCUGAGUAGAGUGGCGAACGGGUGAGUAACACGUGGGUGACCUGCCCUCGAGUGGGGGAUAACAUCCCGAAAGGGGUGCUAAUACCGCAUGACAUCCUGUCUUUGAACAGAUGGACAUUAAAGCCGGGGAUCGCAAGACCUGGCGCUCGAGGAGGGGCUCGCGUCCGAUUAGCUAGUUGGUGGGGUAAUGGCCUACCAAGGCGACGAUCGGUAGCCGGCCCGAGAGGGCGGACGGCCACACUGGGACUGAGACACGGCCCAGACUCCUACGGGAGGCAGCAGUGGGGAAUUGUUCGCAAUGGGCGCAAGCCUGACGACGCAACGCCGCGUGGAGGAUGAAGAUCUUCGGGUCGUAAACUCCUUUCGAUCGGGACGAAUGGCUGGUGGUCUAACAUAUCAUCAGAGUGACGGUACCGAGAGAAGAAGCCCCGGCUAACUCCGUGCCAGCAGCCGCGGUAAUACGGGGGGGGCAAGCGUUGUUCGGAAUUACUGGGCGUAAAGGGCGCGUAGGCGGCCUGCUAAGUCGGAUGUGAAAUCCCUCGGCUCAACCGAGGAACUGCAUCCGAUACUGGCCGGGCUUGAAUCCGGGAGAGGGAUGUGGAAUUCCAGGUGUAGCGGUGAAAUGCGU
rnacentral:rRNA from 1 species